rnacentral:lncRNA from 1 species
GGGCCCUUUAUAGCUUGUUGUUCAGUGUGAGGCAAGGCUCCGUGUGUUGAAGGCCGUACUUUUUAUUAAUCGUUAUUUGGAUGGAGAGUUGUCUCAUUGGCACUCAUACCACAUCUUCCUAUAUCUAUUAUAAUAGAAACGCGGGAAUUGUACAUGUGAUCAAUUUAUAAAAGUAAACCAUUAUAGGUCAAGGUACGGCCUAACACGGAGCCUUGGCUCACACCAAAGAACAAGCUAUAAAGGGCCCCAAAA